AUUUCUAUCACACUUUUUGUGUCGUGUGAUUUUUUUAACUAAAAAUUGAUUAAAAAAAUAUUGCAAGAAACUAUAAAAUAAAGCAAAAAGUGUUUCUUGGGGUCCAUCGGGUAACUAGUGCUAUAAAACUGCAAUAACAUUUCUUUUAUGGCACUCAGCGCUUGCUUUUUUGCUUUGUGUGUCAUUCUCAAAAAACGUGUCGGCUGGAUCAGUACAUUUUAAAAAUUCUUAUUUAUUUGUUCAAUCCCUGUGUGUGAAUAAUUAAUUUCUAAUUAUUAAGACGAAUUCUUAAAUUCCUACAAAAAAAAGUCCCUAAAAUCAGCAAGGAUGGACACGGAGGACAAAACUAUUUGGAAGGAAAGCCUUGUUUUUACUAUAAAAUCAUACGCAACUCUGAUGGAUAUCCAUACCCAUAGUUGACGUAUUCCUCGAAGCGCAAUGUUGGUUCCCGUCAAUUGCAUACGCACACUUCGCUUACCAUGGACAAUUUUAGGGAUGAAUAAUGCGAAUCUGGAAAACUAGCCGCAGAUCUGCGGAAAGCAAAAUUUAAGCCCCUCUGGAUGCGUUAGUGCUAUUGCUCCGCUUUAUUUCGGCUCUUUGGUCCCGAAAAUUUGCAUCAGAGCAAGCGUUUCCAAUGCUUGCUCAGUUUCAGUAGGCCUCUACACUGGGAGAAAUUUCUUUUUUUAAAGAAAAUUUCCCCUAUCUUAGUAGGCAGAAACAUGAGAAUAUUUUAAAAAAGGCAAUUUUUGACGAAAAAUGCUAUAAGUGCAUAGACACCAGGCAGGCCAGACAGCAAAGGCUGCUUCGUCCGAUGCAGAGGAAAAGAAGAAAAUUAGAGAUAAUCUGUUUAAACUUUUCAAAUAAAAUUUAUUUUACACAUCUCUUGCUAUCUUAAGAAUUUAGUUUUUUUUUCUCAAUAUGACACAUGUACGCCACUGACUAAACUAAAGCAAGAAUCAAAUAAAGUAAUCAAGAAACAAAAUCACACUAUAUAUUUUUCUUAACAUUUUGGGAAUUGAAAGAUACUGAUUAUAGUGGAAUAAUUAGUGGACAUGCUCCUCUGGUGGAAUCCAAGAGUCAAUAUCAGGUAGUUUGUUGCCCCAUUCUCGAGCCAUUAUCAAAAUCGUGUUUUGAUGAAGUUUCGGGCCUAUCAACGGGUUCAUUUGAGCCAUAUAGCAACACAA